GCAUUUCUAGCAAGUUCCCAGGUGAUGCUGGUAGAGCACACGCCCAGAACCACCGCCAGGUACACAAGUCACUGGACAAGGUGGGAAGGCAUCUGACUCAGUCAGUGGACCUUAUUCUAAAGCGGAAAGGGCACUGGGAGUAUAGGGAUGGCACCUCUCAAAUGAGGAGCCUAUGACUUACUUCAGAAGAAGGUCAACAACUUCUUAGAUUUUAUGACCUGCUUCAGGGGAGGAGGACAAGGGAAGUAUAGUGACUGCCUACAACAAUGCAAAGGCUAGAAGGAAUGAAGGCAGGGACACGGAAUGGAGAAUUUCCAUUUCAUGAAUCCACAUAAACUGAAAAGGAACAAGAGUAGGUGAGACCAAAGAGCACUGAAGGCCAUGAACCAUCACCAUUCUCAACUCCUGGGCCAGGCAAGAAAAGCCACAGUUCCUGGAAGGGAUGACAACAGGCUUACUGAAUUAUUUUCAUCCAUGCCCUUUUAAAAUAUGGUUGGUAGAAAUCUGCCAUUUUGAGAAUAGAAUCCCAUUCAGAAUCAUGUUAGUCACUUUUGACUCCAUGAGGACAUCUUUC